rnacentral:rRNA from 1 species
UUGACCUCGGAUCAGGUAGGGUUACCCGCUGAACUUAAGCAUAUCAAUAAGCGGAGGAAAAGAAACCAACAGGGAUUGCCCUAGUAACGGCGAGUGAAGCGGCAACAGCUCAAAUUUGAAAUCUGGUCCUUCGGGGCCCGAGUUGUAAUUUGCAGAGGAUGCUUUUGGCGCGGUGCCUUCCGAGUGCCCUGGAACGGGACGCCACAGAGGGUGAGAGCCCCGUAUGGUUGGACACCAAGCCUAUGUAAAGCUCCUUCGACGAGUCGAGUAGUUUGGGAAUGCUGCUCAAAAUGGGAGGUAAACCCCUUCUAAAGCUAAAUACUGGCCAGAGACCGAUAGCGCACAAGUAGAGUGAUCGAAAGAUGAAAAGCACUUUGAAAAGAGAGUUAAAAAGCACGUGAAAUUGUUGAAAGGGAAGCGUUUGCGACCAGACUUGCGCCCGUCGAAUCAACCGUCCCUCGUGGGCGGUGCACUUCGGCGGGCUCAGGCCAGCAUCAGUUUACUGUAGGGGGAGAAAGGCGCUGGGAAUGUGGCUCUUCGGAGUGUUAUAGCCCGGCGCGUAAUACCCCUCGGUGGACUGAGGACCGCGCGAAAGCAAGGAUG